GACGAACGCUGGCGGCGUGCUUAACACAUGCAAGUCGAACGGAAAGGCCCUUCGGGGUACUCGAGUGGCGAACGGGUGAGUAACACGUGGGUGAUCUGCCCUGCACUUCGGGAUAAGCCUGGGAAACUGGGUCUAAUACCGGAUAUGACCGCAUGAUGCAUGUUGUGUGGUGGAAAGCUUUUGCGGUGUGGGAUGGGCCCGCGGCCUAUCAGCUUGUUGGUGGGGUCAAGGCCUACCAAGGCGACGACGGGUAGCCGGCCUGAGAGGGUGACCGGCCACACUGGGACUGAGAUACGGCCCAGACUCCUACGGGAGGCAGCAGUGGGGAAUAUUGCACAAUGGGCGCAAGCCUGAUGCAGCGACGCCGCGUGAGGGACGACGGCC
rnacentral:rRNA from 1 species